rnacentral:rRNA from 1 species
GAGUUUGAUCAUGGCUCAGAUUGAACGCUGGCGGCAGGCCUAACACAUGCAAGUCGAACGGUAGCACAGAGAGCUUGCUCUCGGGUGACGAGUGGCGGACGGGUGAGUAAUGUCUGGGAAACUGCCUGAUGGAGGGGGAUAACUACUGGAAACGGUAGCUAAUACCGCAUAACGUCGCAAGACCAAAGAGGGGGACCUUCGGGCCUCUUGCCAUCAGAUGUGCCCAGAUGGGAUUAGCUAGUAGGUGGGGUAACGGCUCACCUAGGCGACGAUCCCUAGCUGGUCUGAGAGGAUGACCAGCCACACUGGAACUGAGACACGGUCCAGACUCCUACGGGAGGCAGCAGUGGGGAAUAUUGCACAAUGGGCGCAAGCCUGAUGCAGCCAUGCCGCGUGUAUGAAGAAGGCCUUCGGGUUGUAAAGUACUUUCAGCGGGGAGGAAGGUGUUGCGGUUAAUAACCGCAGCAAUGAC